rnacentral:rRNA from 1 species
UGGGGAAUAUUGACAAUGGGGGCAACCCUGAUCCAGCCAUGCCGCGUGAGUGAUGAAGGGCCUUCAGGUUGUAAAGCUCUUUUGGCGGGGACGAUGAUGACGGUACCCGCAGAAUAAGCCCCGGCUAACUUCGUGCCAGCAGCCGCGGUAAGACGAAGGGGGCUAGCGUUGUUCGGAAUUACUGGGCGUAAAGCGAGUGUAGGCGGUUGCCGUAGUCAGGUGUGAAAGCCUUGAGCUCAACUCAAGAAAUGCACUUGAUACUGGGUGACUAGAGGACCGGGAGAGGAUAGUGGAAUUCCCAGUGUAGUGGUGAAAUACGUAGAGAUUGGGAAGAACACCAGUGGCGAAGGCGGCUAUCUGGACGGUUACUGACGCUAAGACUCGAAAGCGUGGGGAGCAAACAGGAUUAGAUACCCUGGUAGUCCACGCCGUAAACGAUGGGUGCUAGACGUUGGCGAGCUUGCUCGUCAGUGUCGCAGCUAACGCGUUAAGCACCCCGCCUGGGGAGUACGGCCGCAAGGUUGAAACUUAAAUGAAUUGACGGGGGUCU